GACGCUGCAGAGUCCAAGGCCAUUCAGGGCAUGGCAUGUUGGAGGAGAAUCCGCCUUGGAAUAAAUCACAUGGCCUGAUCUUGGUGGCUCACUGAAGCACACAGUGAGGCUACGUCACACCUGUUAUCCCAGAGUUUAGAAAGAUGAGGCGGGAAGAUGGCGAACUCAAGACUAGUGUGAGCGGUACCACGAGUUCUCAGCUAGAACAAACCCAACAGCUCGGCGGUUAAGAUCACACACUGCUCCUGUGGAGAACCCAAGUUCUAGUCCCAGUACCCACAAUGGGUGGCUUACACAUACCUGUAACUCCAGCUCCUCGGGACCAGUGUACGGACACUUCCUUGUCCGUAUGUAUAAUUAGAACUUAAUAAAAUAAAACAAACAACCAAGAGCUGA
ensembl:lincRNA Gm43568 predicted gene 43568